GACGAACGCUGGCGGCGUGCUUAACACAUGCAAGUCGAACGAUGAACCCGGAGCUUGCUCCGGUGGAUUAGUGGCGAACGGGUGAGUAACACGUGAGUAACCUGCCCUUGACUCUGGGAUAACUGCGGGAAACUGUAGCUAAUACCAGAUACGACCCUCGGCGGCAUCGCCAGGGGGUGGAAAGAAUUUCGGUCAAGGAUGGACUCGCGGCCUAUCAGCUAGUUGGUGAGGUAACGGCUCACCAAGGCGACGACGGGUAGCCGGCCUGAGAGGGGGACCGGCCAACCUGGGAGUGUGACCCGGCCCAGCGUCCGACGGGAGGCAGCAGUGGGGAAUAUUGCGCAAUGGGCGCAAGCCUGAUGCAGCAACGCCGCGUGAGGGAUGACGGCCUUCGGGUUGUAAACCUCUUUUAGUAGGGAAGAAGCGAAAGUGACGGUACCUGCAGAAAAAGCACCGGCUAACUACGUGCCAGCCGCCGCCGUAA
rnacentral:rRNA from 1 species